UUGGAAUGGAAGAAGAAUACAUUUUGAACAAAAUCACAUGGCAGGCCCCUACGAAGAACAUAUAUUCUGAAAGUGCUUAACACAUAAGGUUGAACACAUAAAACUAUACCAAUAAAAAGUGACAAGGAUUAAAUCGAACUGGGAAGCACAAAACUGGGGAGCAAAUUCAUGUUGAGGCAAUUCAAUUUCAAACAUACGGAGUACUACACCAGAUUCACAAAUUCAGACAAGCUGCUUACUGGUGGUAAGUUUUUAUUCACUAUCACUGGAUCGACUGGAGUGUGAUGGAGAGACGGGAUGUUGUGCUUGUGGUUGCUCUUCCUCCAGAAUGUUCACCACGGCAUGGGCCACCUCAACGCCGCCGCACCCGACGGCGUUCACCACCCGGCCCCGUCCGCCGGUCACGGCCCCGCACCGGCUGACGUCCACCGCCCUGCACAUCUCGACCACCACGCUGCCGNN
rnacentral:lncRNA from 1 species